rnacentral:rRNA from 1 species
AUAUCAAUAAGCGGAGGAAAAGAAACCAACAGGGAUUGCCUCAGUAACGGCGAGUGAAGCGGCAACAGCUCAAAUUUGAAAUCUGGCCCUUCUGGGGUCCGAGUUGUAAUUUGUAGAAGAUGCUUCGGGUGUGGCUCCGGUCUAAGUUCCUUGGAACAGGACGUCAUAGAGGGUGAGAAUCCCGUCUUUGGCAUGGAAUCCCAGGGCUUCUGUGAUGCGCUCUCGACGAGUCGAGUUGUUUGGGAAUGCAGCUCAAAAUGGGUGGUGAACUCCAUCUAAAGCUAAAUAUUGGCGAGAGACCGAUAGCGAACAAGUACCGUGAGGGAAAGAUGAAAAGCACUUUGGAAAGAGAGUGAAACAGUACGUGAAAUUGUUGAAAGGGAAACGCUUGAAGUCAGUCGCGUCGACCGAGACUCAGCCUCGCCUCGGCUUGGUGUACUUCUCGGCUCGACGGGUCAGCAUCGAUUUCGAUCCUCGGAUAAUGGCAAGGGAAAGGUAGCACCUUUUUAGGUGUGUUAUAGUCCUCUGUCGCAUGCGAGGGUCGGGAUCGAGGAACUCAGCACGCACCUCAGGGUGUCGGGGCCUUGGCCCACGUUUACGUGCUUAGGAUGCUGGCGUAAUGGCUUUAAACGA